AACGAACGCUGGCGGCGCGCCUAAUACAUGCAAGUCGAGCGAGAAGACGUAGCAAUACGUCUGUAAAGCGGCGAACGGGUGAGGAAUACAUGGGUAACCUACCCUCGAGUGGGGAAUAACUAGCCGAAAGGUUAGCUAAUACCGCGUACGCUCCUUGGACUUCGGUUCAGGGAGGAAAGCGAUACCGCGGGUAUCGCGCUCUUGGAUGGGCUCAUGUCCUAUCAGCUUGUUGGUGAGGUAACGGCUCACCAAGGCUUCGACGGGUAGCUGGUCUGAGAGGACGAUCAGCCACACUGGCACUGCGACACGGGCCAGACUCCUACGGGAGGCAGCAGUAAGGAAUAUUGCGCAAUGGGCGAAAGCCUGACGCAGCGACGCCGCGUGGGGGAUG
rnacentral:rRNA from 1 species